UACGAAGGGGGCUAGCGUUGCUCGGAAUCACUGGGCGUAAAGGGUGCGUAGGCGGGUCUUUAAGUCAGUGGUGAAAGCCUGGAGCUCAACUCCAGAACUGCCUUUGAUACUGAGGAUCUCGAGUUCGGGAGAGGUGAGUGGAACUGCGAGUGUAGAGGUGAAAUUCGUAGAUAUUCGCAAGAACACCAGUGGCGAAGGCGGCUCACUGGCCCGAUACUGACGCUGAGGCACGAAAGCGUGGGGAGCAAACAGG
rnacentral:rRNA from 1 species